rnacentral:rRNA from 1 species
AUUGAACGCUGGCGGCAUGCCUUACACAUGCAAGUCGAACGGUAACAGGUUAAGCUGACGAGUGGCGAACGGGUGAGUAAUAUAUCAGAACGUGCCCAGUCGUGGGGGAUAACGUAGCGAAAGCUACGCUAAUACCGCAUACGAUCUACGGAUGAAAGCGGGGGAUCGCAAGACCUCGCGCGAUUGGAGCGGCCGAUAUCGGAUUAGGUUGUUGGUGAGGUAAAAGCUCACCAAGCCUGCGAUCUGUAGCUGGUCUGAGAGGACGACCAGCCACACUGGAACUGAGACACGGUCCAGACUCCUACGGGAGGCAGCAGUGGGGAAUUUUGGACAAUGGACGCAAGUCUGAUCCAGCAAUGCCGCGUGCAGAACGAAGGCCUUCGGGUUGUAAACUGCUUUUGUACGGAACGAAACGGUGAGCUCUAAUACAGUUUGCUAAUGACGGUACCGUAAGAAUAAGCACCGGCUAACUACGUGCCAGCAGCCGCCGUAA